rnacentral:misc_RNA from 1 species
ACGAAUCUCAAGUCGGCGAGUUGUGCUGGUGGCAACACAUGUGCACGCUCGUCGCAAACAUCCACACACCUGUGAACCCGAGACCUCUGGGAGAUCGAGUGCCGGGACUCUUGUCCGGGCACGUCGGGGGCAUUCGUGUCCUCCGUCUACCGGGGUACUUUUUUACAUACGCCGAAUGUGAUGGAAUGUAUCUGUGCAUAACGCAUAUCUAUA